CCUAAGGGCGGCAGCAGUGGGGAAUAUUGGACAAUGGGCGAAAGCCUGAUCCAGCCAUGCCGCGUGUGUGAAGAAGGCCUUCGGGUUGUAAAGCACUUUCAGUGGGGAAGAAAGCCUUGGGGCUAAUACCCUCGAGGAAGGACAUCACCCACAGAAGAAGCACCGGCUAACUCCGUGCCAGCAGCCGCGGUAAUACGGAGGGUGCGAGCGUUAAUCGGAAUUACUGGGCGUAAAGCGCGCGUAGGCGGUCUGAUAAGCCGGUUGUGAAAGCCCCGGGCUCAACCUGGGAACGGCAUCCGGAACUGUCAGGCUAGAGUGCAGGAGAGGAAGGUAGAAUUCCCGGUGUAGCGGUGAAAUGCGUAGAGAUCGGGAGGAAUACCAGUGGCGAAGGCGGCCUUCUGGACUGACACUGACGCUGAGGUGCGAAAGCGUGGGUAGCAAACAGGAUUAGAUACCCCGGUAGUC
rnacentral:rRNA from 1 species